GAUGAACGCUGGCGGCGUGCCUAAUACAUGCAAGUCGAGCGAACAGACGAGGAGCUUGCUCCUCUGACGUUAGCGGCGGACGGGUGAGUACCACGUGGAUAACCUACCUAUAAGAAUGGGAUAACUUCGGGAAACCGGAGCUAAUACCGGAUAAUAUAUUGAACCGCAUGGUUCAAUAGUGUAAGACGGUUUUGCUGUUACUUAUAGAUGGAUCCGCGCCGCAUUAGCUAGUUGGUAAGGUAACGGCGUACCAAGGCAACGAUGCGUAGCCGACCUGAGAGGGUGAUCGGCCACACUGGAACUGAGACACGGUCCAGACUCCUACGGGAGGCAGCAGUAGGGAAUCUUCCGCAAUGGGCGAAAGCCUGACGGAGCAACGCCGCGUGAGUGAUGAAGGUCUUCGGAUCGUAAAACUCUGUUAUUAGGGAAGAACAAAUGUGUAAGUAACUAUGCACGUCUUGACGGUACCUAAUCAGAAAGCCACGGCUAACUACGUG
rnacentral:rRNA from 1 species